rnacentral:rRNA from 1 species
AUUGAACGCUAGCGGGAUGCUUUACACAUGCAAGUCGAACGGCAGCACGAGAGAGCUUGCUCUCUUGGUGGCGAGUGGCGGACGGGUGAGUAAUAUAUCGGAACGUGCCCAGUAGCGGGGGAUAACUACUCGAAAGAGUGGCUAAUACCGCAUACGCCUACGGGGAAACGGGGGGAGUUCUUCGGAACCUCUCACUAUUGGAGCGGCCGAUAUCGGAUUAGUCUAGUUGGUGGGG